CCUACGGGAGGCAGCAGUGGGGAAUUUUCCGCAAUGGGCGAAAGCCUGACGGAGCAACGCCGCGUGAGGGAUGAAGGCCUCUGGGCUGUAAACCUCUUUUCUCAAGGAAGAAGAUCUGACGGUACUUGAGGAAUAAGCCACGGCUAAUUCCGUGCCAGCAGCCGCGGUAAUAC
rnacentral:rRNA from 1 species